GAUGAACGCUGGCGGUGUGCCUAAUACAUGCAAGUCGUACGCAUUCUCGUUUCUGAUUGACGGUGCUUGCACCUAAUUGACGAGACAUUGGAAUGAGUGGCGGACGGGUGAGUAACACGUGGGUAACCUGCCCAGAAGUGGGGGAUAACAUUUGGAAACAGAUGCUAAUACCGCAUAAAAGUCAAAACCACAUGGUUUUGAUUUAAAAGAUGGCCUCUGUGCUAUCACUUCUGGAUGGACCCGCGGCGUAUUGCUAGUUGGUAAGGUAACGGCUUACCAAGGCAAUGAUACGUAGCCGAACUGAGAGGUUGAUCGGCCAAAAUGGGACUGAGACACGGCCCAUACUCCUACGGGAGGCAGCAGUAGGGAAUCUUCCACAAUGGGCGCAAGCCUGAUGGAGCAACACCGCGUGAGUGAAGAAGGGUUUCGGCUCGUAAAACUCUGUUGUUAAAGAAGAACGUAUCUAAGAGUAACUGCUUAGGUAGUGACGGUAUUUAACCAGAAAGCCACGGCUAACUACGUGCCAGCCGCCGCAGUAA
rnacentral:rRNA from 1 species